CCCUUAGAUGUUCUGGGCCGCACGCGCGCUACACUGAUGCAUUCAACGAGUAUUCACCUUGCCCGGGAGGGUUGGGUAAUCUUUUGAAAGUGCAUCGUGAUAGGGAUAGACUAUUGCAAUUAUUGGUCUUCAACGAGGAAUUCCUAGUAGACGUAGUUCAUCAGACUGCAUCGAUUACGUCCCUGCCCUUUGUACACACCGCCCGUCGCUCCUACCGAUUGAAUGCUCAGGUGAGCCAUUCGGACUUUCAUCAUGCUGGUUUCCAGUUUUGAUGAAGGAAAGUCUUGCGAACCUUAUCAUUUAGAGGAAGGAGAAGUCGUAACA
rnacentral:rRNA from 1 species